GACUGGAUUUGUCUCAUGGCUUUAAGCCUGGAUCAUAGCUUUAUCUGAGGUAGACGUAGGCUUUUAUUGAUCUCUACCAUAGACUCCCAGUGCAUUGUAUUUGUACCUUUGCUUCACUUCUUGCUUUGUUUCCCUGCUCUCCAUAUGUUUCUGGGGUCUGAAACUCCUGCCUAAUUACUACCACAUACCUCUCCUAGGGAACAUCCUUAUCCCCUUGAUCUCUGGCAGAGGUUUUCUGCCAAACUGAAUGGACUGCUUUGAGCCAUAAACCACCUCCCAACUGACCAUGAGUCAUCCAUGUCCUGGGGAUACCUGUGUUCAUAAUCCUCCUCAAGGACAGCCUUCAUCUGGCUAUAGUUUUUGGAUUAUGGUUCUUAGCAGUGGGGUCAGUCCCAGCAGAGUGUCUUCGAGCAAGUUACUGAAUUUUUAUGAGCUUCAGUUUCCUCAUCUGUCAUAAUUGUGUCCAUAUUACAGGUAGACAGUGAGGAUUAAAAUUUUAAGACAUGUGGUUCAUUUGAAAGAGUCCCUGGCAGACGGUGCACUCUGCAUCAAGCCUAUUUAUUGUCCCACUGUGUGCUGUGUGGGGCACUGGCAAAGUUGAUUAUUUAGACCUGCUCCCAGUCCUGGAGUGGUUGACCACAUUAGCAAGAUCACUUAGGAGCCUGGCUUGGUCUCCAAAUUGCAGAUCCUGCAGGAAUUGGAAUGUGCCAAGGGAAUAAACUUGCAUCCAUCCAUCCAUCCAUUUAUUCAUUGUUUUAUGGAUUCAAUAGCUAGUCAUCAAGCCUCUGCUCCAUUCAUGGAUAGUAUUGGGCUCAGUGCUUUGUAUGCCUUGCCUCCUAUGCACAGCUCCUUGGGUUGAGCAUUUCCAGAAGCCAGAAUCCCCACACAUGGAAGGCUGGAUCCACACAUCCUGCUCCAGUAAGUCCUGCUUGGUACACCAAUGAAUUUCCUGUCAUAUAGUGGUGUCUGUACAGGCAGAGGGAACUGAAAUGUUCCACAUGUGCUAAAUGUCCCCCUACCUGUGCAAUGACUCUACAUCCAAGGUUGGGGUGGGAGGGAGGAUUUAAACCAAAUCUUUCAUAGAACCGCCCCUCCCCCAUAGUUUCCAGACUCCAAAAGGCUCUGACUCACUUCCAUGUUUUUCUCCUCUCAGCAUGCUCACUGAACCCCACCCUGCUAUUCUCUGGCUCUGCUUAUCUGCAACCAUGACUGUGUCUUUCUAUGCCUCUAAGCCCUUCUGGACAAGAUCCCCAUCUUUCUGAAUGAUCUAUGUCCUCCACCAAUCCAAUGCUCUUGAUUGUCAUUGUGCUAAGCAAGUACUCUGGGAAAAACGAAGGCAGACAUUUUUCCUCCUAGAAUUAAACAUGAAGCCACAACCCAAUACAUACCCAAUCUCAGAUUUAUAUCUUAUAUAUUCUGAUCCGACUUGGAAGUAUGUCCAUAAUUAAAACUGUCAAAUUGAAUGCUAGUUCUAAAAAUCAGUUUAAAUGAUAAUAGAGCAACUAUUUUAAUGCACCAGAUUAUAGACAGUUUUGCUGCUUUUUAAAAAAGAAAUUAGAGUUCCCUUGUGGUGCAGUGGUUUAAGGAUCCUGUGUUGUCACUACAGUGGCUGGGAUUAGUGCUGUGGCAUGGAUUUGAUUCCUGCUUUUAUAUGCCAACGAUGCAGCCAAAAAAUAAAUGAAUAAAUAAAAAUAAAAAGACGUGAAUUUUAAAAAGAAAGAAUAGAACAAGAGGCUGGAAAAUAAUUUAUCCCCAUCAAGUAAGAAAGUUCCUCUGAAGGUUCUCAUGUAUGCCUCUUCAGGCUUCUUUGUUUUUUUAAAAAAAAGAGUUGCAAAUAGUCUCUAGUGAUAGGAAUGCUAAAAGGAAUGACUGAGGGACAAACAUGCCCUUUGGAAAAUUUUGUCUUACUAAUUUACAAAAGUUGACUGACCGAUUGAUGGAUGGAUAGAUGGAUGGAUGGAAGAAUUGAUGGUGCCUAGCUUAGGAGGGAUGAAGGUUUCUUCAGUGUGGACUGACAGGCGAUAAGCAUUGGCAAAUAUCCAUCUGGUGCUUAAGUGGACAUUAAUCAGACCACAUCUAAGUGCAGCUGGAAAGCUCAGGGACAUAGUGGCUGUUGUGAGAGGCCCUGGGAGACCAAAAGUGAGUUCUCUUCUAAAUGUACUCAGUCACAGGCUCACUGGGGAUAGAGGUCAAAAUGCUUCACUGCACUUGGUCUUAUUAACUCAAAUGGAAAAUUGGGUUAGAAGCAAACAUAUGUAGAGAACAGCUGCAGCUACCCAGCUCACUUUACAGGGCAGUGGGGUCUCUGAGGAAGAAAUGAUAGCUAAGGUAGAUGGGUAGAUGGGGAGGAGGAAGUGGUACCAGCUCCCAGGGGGAGCAGGAAUCCUCAUUACCAUCAGAAACACCCUCCUGGAAAAUCUUUUUCCUUUUCUACCACAAGUUCUUGCCAAAGUCCCUGCCUUCUGUCAAACCACAGUGAGGAUUACUACCUAGACUUGGGUUGGGCCUCUGUGGGUUGCAGAAACACAGUGAGCAUUUGGGGAGUGAGCAGUGCUCUAGAAAUGAAAGCCAGUCAAUACACACCUGGCCAGUGAGAACAAAGGAAACAUCCCUGCUUCAUCCUCCCCCCACACACACACAUCCCCGGCCACCCUCUCACAGCUCAGUUCCAGCUUGAAGCUUUGGUUCCCUGGCUCCUGCUGGAGUAGCUCUGGGCUUCUCAGAUCAACUUUUGCUCAAGGCUGUUUGUGUCUCAGAGCUGACAAGCAACUGUGUACUCUGGCUAUGCCUCAGCUCCCUUGCCCACUCCUCCCAGACUCACUUCUGUCCAAGGGUUCUACUGGCCCAUGUCUGCUGGAGAGAAACGAGUGCCCAAAACUUCCUGGAAGAAGCAAAUGCACUGCAGGAUAUUCUCAUAAGGGGAAUUUAUCAAGUCCCUUUGCAUGAAGAUGGUGAUGGAAGAGCCUGAAUUAGGUGUGCUCACAUUGCAGCUCCAGUCAAGUGCAGCCUUUAGAAAAAGAGAUAAAUCGGUGUCCUCCACUCACUAUAGAAAAUGAAAAUUUUCUGCUGGGUACCCAGAGCCAAACGGGAGACCAUUGAUCAUCCUGAACAAACAUCCUUCAAUAAAUCUUUAUCUCUUCUGAAGAUAAUUGGAAGGACAGUGACUUCCGCAUUUACUCUCUUUCAGCAGUCACCUCCCUUUCACUUUUCUGGGUAUAUUUGUUUUCAAAGCUAAAAUGUACUACACAGUCUCAUCCAUCAAGGUGAAGGGACCCCAAAUGAUUUCCUAUUUCAGCUCCAAUGUGUCAAGCUUGAGGAUUCUCUUAAUCCACUGGCUGUGCAAGUGAUUGGCCUUUUCCAUCACAGGUGAGCACAUCAUGUUGCCUAUUUCCUCGAAAAGGAUGUACCCACACUGCUAAUCCCAUUGCUCUGUUUGGAUUUAUGACUUCCUCUCUUCUCUUCUUUUAAUUAGCAUAUUCGUUUAUUCUUUUCACAUGCAACCCAUCAUAUGUCUAUCACUGUGCCAGGAUGUCCAGUUGUUAAAGUAGAUCUAAUGAGAGAUGUGCAUGUGCCUGAGUUCCCUGGGUCUCAGCUUGCUUAUCAGAGCCCCCUGAGGUGUGCACCUGAAGCAAAGCAAAUUAUUUUGGUGGACAACAUUCAUAAAAUAUGCCUUUUUAAUUCUAAAAAUCAUCUGAAACAUCAAGAACCUUAAAUAGUAUUUUUGAUUUUCUGAACUCUUAAUUAGCUUUGUAGCUGGUACAUCAAUAUCUUAAGAACCAUAUUUAUUUUUUAAAAAAUCUAGGUUUUAUAAUGUAUAACUUUUAAUAAAACCUUCCAACUAUAGUCAUGCAAAUCAUAGCAGCCCUGAAAGCUCUAUGAAUCAAUGCACCACCGCGCAUCCAGCUGUGGAAGUUAUUUGGUAUUCACACAAUAACCUUUAAAUAGAAGAGUAUGUUCUUAAACAUACUGGGCCUCAACAAGGGGUCCACCCACAUGAUUAAGAGGCCCAGCCUCUGUGUUGCACUGUUAUGUGAAAAUAUAAUGGAGAGAAUUUUUAAUGUGGCAGAAACAAAUGUCAACUCUUACAAGAAGAUUUCACAAGCAUCUGUUGAGUUCGAAUAUCGCUGAUACAAUGCAGAUGGUUCUUUUUUAUAAGUGUAUAAAACGCAAAAGAUAAAAGCCCCUCUGAACAGGAGAAGAUGUCAGAUCUCACCAUGAAGGCUGUUUGAGUACAUUUAAAAUAAUAAGAGUGAUGAAUCAAAUUACCUUUAUGAUGAAGAAAUCUGGAAAACCCCAUGUCUACUGACUGAUCAAUGCUACCCUCACCAAUAAUAGCAUAAAUUGGCAUCAUAUGCCUCCCUGAUGUGAUGUGUUGAAUAGGACAGAAUAUUGUUUUCAUAUUGGUUGUACCAAAAAUGCAUAGCUUGAUUCUAAUCCUGAGAUAAAGACAAAUUGAGGGAUAAUCUAAAAAAAAUUUUUUUUAAAGUUUUGAUUCUUCAAAAAAUCAAAAUACUAAAAAAGAAAGAUAAGAAGAGAAUUUUUUUUUUUCCAUUAAAGCUGUGGCCCUGGAUUAGAAAACAGAAAAGGUAGAGAUUGAAGAUCAAUUGAUCAAUCUAUUUUUCUAUUGAUCAAUCUAAAAAGCAUAAUUUUCCCUCCAUAUUUAUGUGUGUUUCUCAUGAGAAGAAGGAUAUUCUCUCACAUAACUAGCACACAGUCAUCAAUUUUAGAAAAUUUCACAUGGAUAAAAGUAAAAUAUUCUCUAGCUAUCUAUCAUAUUCACAUUUGCUGAUCAUCCCAAUAAUGUCCUUUAGAGCAGAGGUUUGCAAACUACAGCCCACCCACCAUCUGUUCUCAGAAGUUAAGUUUUAUUGGAACAAAACCAUGCCCCAUUUGUUUACAUGUUGUCUAUGGCUGCUUUCGCAUUACAACCACAGAGUUGAGUAGUUGCAACAGAGACCAUAUGGUCCAUAAAGCCGAAAAUAUUUAUUAUCUGGCUCUUUAUAGAAAUAGUUUGCCAACCCCUGCUUUGGAGCUCUGUUACUCCAGUCUCAUCAGAGUAAUGUAUUGCACUCACUUGCCAGGUUCUUAACAUCUCUUUUAAUCUGAAUCAGUUCCUAACCCUUUCUUUGUCUUUCUUGACUUUUUUUUUAAGACUACAGACCUGUUUGUAGAAUUCCACUCAGCUUGAGUUUGUCUGAUGUUUCUUCAUGAUUAGAUUCAGGUUACACAUUUCUGGCUUGAAUACCACUGAAUUUAUGUUACAUCCUUUUCAAGACAUCAUAUCAAGAGACAUGUGAGUUUAUUUGCUUUUUUUCCCUGGUUUUACUGAGAAAUAAUUGACAUCACUGGACACAUGUAAGGCAUUCAACUCAAUGGCUUGAUUUACAUAUGUUGUGAAAUGAAAUGAUAAUAGGCUCAGUUAACAUCUAUCUUCUCAAUGGGGAACAAUAAAAAGAAAAGAAAGAAGCAAAAACAUUCUCCUAUGAUGAGAACUCUUAAAAUGGUUUAUCCCAAUAUUGAUGAUGUUACCUUUGGUCAGUGGGCUAAGGUGGUGCCCACCAGGACAAACAGUAUUUUAUUUUGACCUAAAGGACAUUAUCAGGAAGAUUGGUAACACUCAAAUAUGGGCUGUAUAUUCAGUAAUAGCAAUUCACCUAUAUUAAAUUUCCAUUAUUUGAUCACUGUGAUGUGGUUAUAUUAAAAAUGUCCUUGUUCUUAGGAAAUUUGUACUAAAGUAUUUAAGGAUACAGGGUCAUUAUAAUUACCAUAUAUCAAAUGAUUCAGGAUACACACACACGCACGCACAAUGUAAAUGUGGAAAAUCUUACCAUUUGGCCAAUCAAGGUAAACAGUAUGUGGGUGUCCAUUGCGUUAUUCUUACAACUUUUGUGUAGUUUUAAUUUUUAAUAGGAGGUUAAAAUAAUAAUGGGAGAAUCUUACUUGGCACACAGACAGGACAGAGUGAAAGGAGUGCAUGUGAGCAUGAACAUCUUCCCCUCAGUACUGUGAAGAGUAUUUAUGUAGCCUCUGUAGAUGAUGAGGGAGCUCCCAGAGGGGACAGUCCAGGCCACCAUCACAUUCAGAGCCAUGGCAUUUGCCCACCGAAUGGAUAAAACUGAUUGUUAUUUAAUUGAAUAGAAUGCUUCAGCACAGUUUUGACUUAACAAUGAAAGCUACAACUUCCAAAUCACC
rnacentral:lncRNA from 1 species